CCAAGAUUGCAAGAGUUGGGAAUCGGAAUAGGGCGACCUGCUUUCAAACGGUGGAAGAACCAUUCUUCGACCGGAUUAUAAUUCAAAGGUCCGUAAAUGUAGACGGGUCUCAAAGAUGUCCAAUUAACACCCCUCGUCUUGAGUAAGCUCUCGGUAUUAAGUUUUCCCUUGUGCCUACUCUUCGGAUCGACUGCAUCAACCUAUCUCCAGGCCACCAACGAGUUAGAAGCGAUCAUACAUGUACAUAACAAAUGUCAAUGAAACAUGAAUGGAAUUGACAAUCCCUACCUCACAAUGUGGUAAAAUAUCAGAUUUGAGGUAAACGCCAGCUGAGGAGCAGUAUAUGAACCUGAGAAUUAGCAGA